rnacentral:rRNA from 1 species
CUACGGGCCGCAGCAGUGGGGAAUAUUGGACAAUGGGGGAAACCCUGAUCCAGCAAUGCCGCGUGUGCGAUGAAGGCCUGCGGGUUGUAAAGCACUUUCGGUGGGGAAGAAAUGCUCAAAUAUAAUACAUUUGAGAGCUGACGUUACCCACAGAAGAAGCACCGGCAAACUCUGUGCCAGCAGCCGCGGUAAUACAGAGGGUGCAAGCGUUAAUCGGAGUUACUGGGCGUAAAGGGCGCGUAGGCUGAUGCUUAAGUCGGUUGUGAAAUCCCUGGGCUUAACCUAGGAAUUGCAGUCGAUACUGGGCGUCUAGAGUAUGGUAGAGGAAAGUGGAAUUCUCGGUGUAGUGGUUAAAUACGUAGAUAUCGAAAAGAACACCAGUGGCGAAGGCGACUUUCUGGACCAAUACUGACGCUGAGGCGCGAAAGCAUGGGGAGCAAACAGGAUUAGAUACCCCAGUAGUC